GGGGAUGUAGCUCAGUUGGUAGAGUGCUUGCCUUGCAUGCACAAGGCCCUGGGUUCAAUCCCCAGCAUCACCA